GGCUAACUCUGUGCCAGCAGCCGCGGUAAUACAGAGGGUGCAAGCGUUAAUCGGAAUUACUGGGCGUAAAGCGAGCGUAGGUGGCUUGAUAAGUCAGAUGUGAAAUCCCCGGGCUUAACCUGGGAACUGCAUCUGAUACUGUUAGGCUAGAAUAGGUGAGAGGAAGGUAGAAUUUCAGGUGUAGCGGUGAAAUGCGUAGAGAUCUGGAGGAAUACCGAUGGCGAAGGCAGCCUCCUGGCAUCAUAUUGACACUGAGGCUCGAAAGCGUGGGUAGCAAACAGGAUUAGAUACCCUGGUAGUCCACGCCGUAAACGAUGUCUACUAGUCGUUGGGUCCCUUGAGGACUUAGUGACGCAGCUAACGCAAUAAGUAGACCGCCUGGGGAGUACGGCCGCAAGGUUAAAACUCAAAUGAAUUGACGGGGGCCCGCACAAGCGGUGGAGCAUGUGGUUUAAUUCGAUGCAACGCGAAGAACCUUACCUGGUCUUGACAUACAUAGAAUCUUGUAGAGAUACGAGAGUGCCUUCGGGAAUUAGAAUACAGGUGCUGCAUGGCUGUCGUCAGCUCGUGUCGUGAGAUGUUGGGUUAAGUCCCGCAACGAGCGCAACCCUUGUCCUUAGUUACCAGCGGGUUAAGCCGGGAACUCUAAGGAUACUGCCAGUGACAAACUGGAGGAAGGCGGGGACGACGUCAAGUCAUCAUGGCCCUUACGACCAGGGCUACACACGUGCUACAAUGGUAGGUACAGAGGGCAGCUACACAGCGAUGUGAUGCGAAUCUUUCAAAGCCUAUCGUAGUCCAGAUUGGAGUCUGCAACUCGACUCCAUGAAGUAGGAAUCGCUAGUAAUCGCGGAUCAGAAUGCCGCGGUGAAUACGUUCCCGGGCCUUGUACACACCGCCCGUCACACCAUGGGAGUUGAUUGCACCAGAAGUGGUUAGCCUAACGUAAGAGGGCG
rnacentral:rRNA from 1 species